rnacentral:rRNA from 1 species
GACUCCGGAGAGGGAGCCUGAGAAACGGCUACCACAUCCAAGGAAGGCAGCAGGCGCGCAAAUUACCCACUCUCGGCACGAGGAGGUAGUGACGAAAAAUAACGAGACGGAUCUCUUUGAGGCCCGUUAUCGGAAUGAGAACAAUUCAAAUCCUUUAACGAGGAUCUAGCGGAGGGCAAGUCUGGUGCCAGCAGCCGCGGUAAUUCCAGCUCCGCAGGUGUAUAUCUAUGCUGCUGCGGUUAAAAAGCUCGUAGUGAUCUGCGUGCUCGGAACUGGUUGGCUCACUGAGUUCAAACUGGUCUCCGGCGCUUUAUUGGCUGGUUUUCCCUUGAUGCUCUUAACCGGGUGUCUUGGGUGGCUAGCACGUUUACUUUGAAAAAAUUAGAGUGCUCAAUACAGGCGUAAAGCCUUGAAUAGUGGUGCAUGGAAUAAUAGAAUAGGACCUCGGCUCUAUUUUGUUGGUUUUCGGAACGCGAGGUAAUGAUUAAGAGGGACAGACGGGGGCAUUCGUAUUGCGACGUUAGGGGUGAAAUUCUUGGAUCGUCGCAAGACGGACGACUGCGAAAGCAUUUGCCAAGAAUGUUUUCAUUAAUCAAGAACGAAAGUUAGAGGUUCGAAGGCGAUCAGAUACCGCCCUAGUUCUAACCGUAAACGAUGCCAACUAGCGAUUCGCAGGCGUUAAACAACGACCUUGCGGGCAGCUUCCCGGAAACGAAAGUGUUCGGGUUCCGGGGGAAGUAUGGUUGCAAAGCUGAAACUUAAAGGAAUUGACAGAAGGGCACCACCAGGAGUGGAGCCUGCGGCUUAAUUUGACGCAACACGGGAAAACUCACCCGGCCCGGACACCGUAAGGAUUGACAGAUUGAGAGCUCUUUCUUGAUUCGGUGGGUGGUGGUGCAUGGCCGUUCUUAGUUGGUGGAGCGAUUUGUCUGGUUUAUUCCGAUAACGAACGAGACUCUGGCCUACUAAAUAGUGGGCGGAUUCUUUCUGUCCGCAACACUUCUUAGAGAGACAAGCGGUGUUCAGCCGCACGAGAUUGAGCAAUAACAGGUCUGUGAUGCCCUUAGAUGUCCGGGGCUGCACGCGCGCUACACUGAAGGAAUCAGCGUGCUUUCUGACCUUGCCCGAAAGGGCUGGGUAACCCGAUGAAAAUCCUUCGUGAUUGGGAUAGGGACUUGCAAUUAUUUCCCUUGAACGAGGAAUUCCCAGUAAGUGUGGGUCAUAAGCUCGCGUUGAUUACGUCCCUGCCCUUUGUACACACCGCCCGUCGCUGCCCGGAACUGAGCCGUUUCGAGAAGAACAGGGACCGUCGUUGAAGGGCCUUAACGGGCUUUUCUCUGAUAGAAACUGUUUUAAUCGCAGUGGCUUGAACCGGGCAAAAGUCGUAACAAGGUU